GGCCGCCUGGCGAAAUGGCAUCGCGUCUGACUACGAUAUCCUUGGGUUAAGUAUACCGUACAUCAUCAGGAGAUUGCAGGUUCGACCCCUGCGGUGGUCA